UACGUAGGGGCAAGCGUUGUCCGGAUUUAUUGGGCGUAAAGAGCGUGUAGGCGGCCUGGAAGGUCAGCUGUGAAAACUCGAGGCUCAACCUCGAGACGUCGGUUGAAACCACCUGGCUAGAGUCCGGAAGAGGAGAGUGGAAUUCCCGGUGUAGCGGUGAAAUGCGCAGAUAUCGGGAAGAACACCCGUGGCGAAGGCGGCUCUCUGGGACGGUACUGGACGCUGAGACGCGAAAGCGUGGGGAGCGAACAGGA
rnacentral:rRNA from 1 species